rnacentral:rRNA from 1 species
CCUAUUCAAAAAAUUAUAUUACACACGCCCGAUCUCAUCUGAUCUCGGAAGCUAAGCAGGGUCGGGCCUGUUUAGUACUUGGAUGGGAGACCACUUAGGAAGACCGGGUGCUGUAGGU